rnacentral:rRNA from 1 species
AGAGUUUGAUCCUGGCUCAGGACGAACGCUGGCGGCAUGCCUAAUACAUGCAAGUCGAGCGGAGUUGAUAGGAAGCUUGCUUCCUUGAUACUUAGCGGCGGACGGGUGAGUAACACGUAGGCAACCUGCCCUCAAGUUUGGGACAACUACCGGAAACGGUAGCUAAUACCGAAUAAUUGUUUUCUUCGCCUGAAGGAAACUGGAAAGACGGAGCAAUCUGUCACUUGGGGAUGGGCCUGCGGCGCAUUAGCUAGUUGGUGAGGUAACGGCUCACCAAGGCGACGAUGCGUAGCCGACCUGAGAGGGUGAUCGGCCACACUGGGACUGAGACACGGCCCAGACUCCUACGGGAGGCAGCAGUAGGGAAUCUUCCGCAAUGGGCGAAAGCCUGACGGAGCAAUGCCGCGUGAGUGAUGAAGGUUUUCGGAUCGUAAAGCUCUGUUGCCAGGGAAGAACGCUUGGGAGAGUAACUGCUCUCAAGGUGACGGUACCUGAGAAGAAAGCCCCGGCUAACUACGUGCCAGCAGCCGCGGUAAUACGUAGGGGGCAAGCGUUGUCCGGAAUUAUUGGGCGUAAAGCGCGCGCAGGCGGUCAUUUAAGUCUGGUGUUUAAUCCCGGGGCUCAACCCCGGAUCGCACUGGAAACUGGGUGACUUGAGUGCAGAAGAGGAGAGUGGAAUUCCACGUGUAGCGGUGAAAUGCGUAGAUAUGUGGAGGAACACUAUUGGCGAAGGCGACUCUCUGGGCUGUAACUGACGCUGAGGCGCGAAAGCGUGGGGAGCAAACAGGAUUAGAUACCCUAGUAGUCCACGCCGUAAACGAUGAGUGCUAGGUGUUAGGGGUUUCGAUACCCUUGGUGACGAAGUUAACACAUUAAGCACUCCGCCUGGGGAGUACGGUCGGCAGACUGAAACUCGAAAGGAAUUGACGGGCACCCGCACUAGCAGUGCGAGUAUGUGGCUUAUUACGACGCAACACUUAGGAACAUUACCAUGUCUCGACAUCCUUUUGACCGGACUAGAGAUAGGUCUUUUUCUUCGGGUACAAAGAAGCAAGCUGGUGCAUUGGAAGUCCGUCAGCCUCUGCUCAGGGAAAUGUUCGGUUAAAACCCCUUACAGAGCCCAACACUAUAUGCUUUAGUUUGCCGGCCAUUA